CUUUACUGUAACCUGGAAUUGGGUUCGGGCUUUGCUUGCGCAGGAUAGGUGGGAGGCGUUGAGAUAUUCCUUGUGGGGAAUGUGGAGCCAACGGUGAGAUACCACUCUGGUGAGGCUAGAAUUCUAACCCGAUGCCGUGAACCGGCUCGGGAACAGUUUCAGGCGGGCAGUUUGACUGGGGCGGUCGCCUCCUAAAAGGUAACGGAGGCGCGCAAAGGUUCUCUCAGGCUGGUUGGAAAUCAGCCGUAGAGUGUAAAGGCAUAAGAGAGCUUGACUGCGAGACAAACACGUCGAGCAGGGUGGAAACACGGCCUUAGUGAUCCGACGGCGCUGCGUGGAAAGGCCGUCGCUAAACGGAUAAAAGUUA
rnacentral:rRNA from 1 species